rnacentral:tmRNA from 1 species
GGGGAUGUUUUUGGAUUCGCCAGAGCAUUCUAGUGGUAAGAUAAGCAUACCUAGUAGUCCUAGUAAAAAACUAAACCCUUGCUUAAACGCAAACACACAAAGUUAUUCUUUCGCUUAUUAACAAGCGAACCAUCCUAGCUAUUUAUCUUUAGAUACCUUACGAUGGCCCCAAUAAAGAUAUAUCUAAAAAGAUACCUAGUAUUUUUAGAUGAAUCCCGCUAGGCAAUCUUUAGUAAGUUUUGUUUAUUUUAUUCUUACUUUAGAGAUACCUAAAACAAUAAACUAAGUAUGUAGAAAAUCUUAUGGCUUGUGUUUUGUACAGGGGUUCGAUCCCCCUCAUCUCCACCA